rnacentral:rRNA from 1 species
UACGUAGGGGGCAAGCGUUGUCCGGAAUCAUUGGGCGUAAAGAGCGUGUAGGCGGCUCGAUAAGUCUGCUGUGAAAGUCCAGGGCUCAACCCUGGAAGGCCGGUGGAAACUGUCGGGCUAGAGUCCGGAAGAGGCGAGUGGAAUUCCCGGUGUAGCGGUGAAAUGCGCAGAUAUCGGGAGGAACACCAAUGGCGAAGGCAGCUCGCUGGGACGGUACUGACGCUGAGACGCGAAAGCUAGGGGAGCGAACGGGG